rnacentral:misc_RNA from 1 species
UACGAAGGGGGCUAGCGUUGUUCGGAAUUACUGGGCGUAAAGCGAACGUAGGCGGCCAAGUAAGUCAGGGGUGAAAUCCCGGAGCUCAACUCCGGAACUGCCUUUGAAACUGCAUGGCUAGAAUCCUGGAGAGGCGAGUGGAAUUCCGAGUGUAGGGGUGAAAUUCGUAGAUAUUCGGAAGAACACCAGUGGCGAAGGCGACUCGCUGGACAGGUAUUGACGCUGAGGUUCGAAAGCAUGGGGAGCAAACAGG